rnacentral:rRNA from 1 species
GACGAACGCUGGCGGCGUGCCUAAUACAUGCAAGUCGAACGCAGUGGGGACGGGUGAGUAACACGUGGGUAACCUCCCAUCAGAGGGGAUAACACUUGGAAACAGGUGCUAAACCGAUACUGAUGGAUGAACCCGCGGUGCAUUAGCUAGUUGGUGAGGUAACGGCUCACCAAGGCCACGAUGCAUAGCGGACCUGGGAGGUGGCUCGGCCACACUGGGAUGGGGACAGGGCCAAGAUCCUGACGGAGGGCGGCGGGAGGGAACCUCCGGCAAUGAAGGAAGGCCUGCCCGAGCAAGGCGGGGGAAGGGAAGAGGGUUUCGGAUCGUAAAACUCUGUUGUUAGAGAAGCGGUAUCUAACCAGAAAGCCACGGCUAACUACGUGCCAGCAGCCGCGGUAAUAC